AACAGUGAAAGGUUGUAAAAAAGUAUCCAAGGAUAUUUAUCCCCAGGCUGUCAAUAUCAGUAUCAACAGUAAUAAGAUAGAAUAAAGAGAUAAAACGUUUGAAAUACAACCAUCAGCUUUAUCUUUGUUUAAAAAAAAAAAAAAAAACCUACAACUGACUGGUCCUGAGCUAGCUCAAUUGAGCAGGGAGCUGAAUCGCACCAGCGCCUGCAGGUUUUACCUCCACACCAGGCAGCUGAGCUCUGGGGAAAAGGAGUUAAGAUGAAUCAGAUGCCCUAGACUUCCCUAAACUUUCACUUUUUAAACACUACUAGAGUGAGUUCUCACCCAAGCUAUUCUUUAGGAAAUCCAGUGUGAUGUUGUGCCUAAAGCCAUACAACACUGAAUUAUCUUCAAAGUACUCCUUAAAUUUUAUCCUCAAAGAUGAACCGAUUUUCUUGUGACAUAUAUAUGCAACUUCAAUUAAUUUUGUUAUUCAGGUGGAAUACUUGUGUUUUCACCUGUUAAUGGAGGCUAAGGAGGGCUUUCUUUCCUCCCAAAAGAUGCCCAGCUUUGCGCUUUUGGGGGGUUUUUAAAGUCUUGGUCAUGGCCUCUCACUAAUUCUAAUUAUUACGCAAUAUACAUCUCUCUAGCAUUUCAUUUUAUGAUGGGAAGAGCAGAGGAGGCUGCAUAAAACUUAAUGUAAGUUUUGCAGCUAUAAGCAAUGAAUUUGUUAUUGUGAAAAUGCUUUGCCUUUGCAAAGUAAGUUAACAAGAAAUUGGUUGUUUCUUCAUGAACUCUAUACCAGUUCUGUGUGUCUUAGAAAAUUCAGGACUAGCCAAAGAAAAAAGACUGUGGGUAAAUGUAACUCCCUUGAUGUGUGUAACCAAGAGACCUAAGUCAUAUGGACUUACACAAAAUUGUUUAUUGAGUUCAUACCAACAUUCAGACACUGAAGGAGGGAGUUCAUUUGUUUUUCGCAGCAACCCUAAAAGGUAGGAACUAUUUUCCCAAUUUUAGAACUGAGAAGGAGAAAAACAAAAAUCAUUAAGUAAUCUGACUAAGGUCACCCAGCUAAGAAGUGGCAAAUCAAGGUGUCAAACAUCAGGAGAGCAGCCAAGAUGGCGGAGCAUCAAGACUUUUUCCCACGGGCGCCAACAUGACAGCUAUUUACAGAGUAACUACUGACGAGAAAACUAGCAGGAAAGAGCUUCUACCACUAAAGACAUAAAAAAGGAACUACAACGAGAUGGGUAGGAUGGGAAUGAUGUGAUUUAGUCAAGACCUACACCCCCAAGUAGACAACCCACAAACAGGAUGAUCAUACAAGUGCAAGAUUCUCUCCAAGGAACAAGGGUUUGGAGCCCCACAUCAGGCUCCCCAACUCAGGGUCCUUGCACCACAAAGAGAAGCCCCCAGAACAUCUGGCUUUGAAAUCCAGCAGGUCUUGCUUUGAGGAGAGUCAGAGGGCUUAUGGGAAAUAAGCACUGCAGCCAGAGACCCAGGACCUGGUUCCACAUAUCAGUUGGCCAGGACUAGUCCCAGGACCCAGUCUUACCCAUGAGUGAGCUGACAUUAGUUCUGGCACACCCUGGACACCAGCAGUCAGCCACAUCAGGAACUAGCCCUGCCCACGAGAGGACUGAUACUAGCCCUGAGACUCAGGGAGCCUGCAGCCACCGACAUCAAGAAAUGGCCCACCCACCAGCAGAUUGACAUCAGCUAGCUCUGAAACCCUGGGGCCCCACAGCCAGGUGACCCCAUGACCUGACCUCACCUCCUGGUGGCCAGAAGCCUUCAUACUAGAUAGGGCCUGGCAACCAACUGGGCCAGGGGCCAGCCACACCCACCAGCUUUCCCACAGCAGUUGGUCCCAACACAAGAGAAGGGCCACACAGCCCAUCUAAUGGGCACCCCUAGAGCAUAUAGUUCUGGUGACCAGAGGAGAGUGUACUGCUGGGCCUGACAGAACUUCUCCCACAGGGGCCAUUUCUUCAAGAUCAGGAAACAUUACCAACCUAAUACACAGGAAUAAAAACAGAGAUUUAGGCAAAAUGAGGAGACAGAGGAAUGUGUUCCAAAUGAGGAACAAGAUAAAACUCCAGGAGAACUAAACAAGGAGGAAAUAAGUUCAGGGCAGUAAUCAUAAAGAUGCUCAAAUAACUUGGGAGAAGUACAGAUGAACACAGUGAGAACUUCAACAAAGAGGUAGAAGAUAAAAAGAAGAACCAGAGUUGAAGAAUAUAAGAACUGAAAUGAAAAAGUACAGUAGAAGCAAUUAACAGUAGAUUAUGAGACAGAGGAAUAGAUUUGCAAACUAAAAGACAGAGGAAUGGAAACAACCCAAAUGUCCAUCGAUAGAUGAUUGGAUUCGGAAGAGGUGGUAUAUAUACACAAUGGAAUACUACCCAGCCAUAAAAAAGAAUGACAUAAUGCCAUUUGCAGCAACAUGGAUGGAACUAGAGAAUCUCAUACCGAGUGAAAUGAGCCAGAAAGACAAAGACAAAUACCAUAUGAUAUCACUUAUAACUGGAAUCUAAUAUCCAGCACAAAUGAACAUCUCCUCAGAAAAGAAAAUCAUGGACUUGGAGAAGAGACUUGUGGCUGCCUGAUGGGAGGGGGAGGGACUGGGAGGGAUCGGGAGCUUGGGCUUAUCAGACACAACCUAGAAUAGAUUUACAAGGAGAUCCCGCUGAAUAGCAUUGAGAACUAUGUCUAGAUACUCAUAUUGCAACAGAACAAAGGGUGGGGGAAAAAAAGUAAUUGUAAUGUAUACAUGUAAGGAUAACCUAACCCCCUUGCUGUACAGUGGGAAAAAAAUAAAAAAAAAAAAAAAUUAUUCUUCCUUCCACAAUUAUAAAAAAAAUAAAAAAAAUAAAAAAUAAAUAAAUAAAUGCUGCUAUAAAUGAUAGAAAAAAAAAAAAGACAGAGGACUGGAAAUCACUUGAGAUGAACCAAGAAAAAGAAAAAAGAGUUUUUAAAAAUGAGGACAGUUUAAGAAACAUAUGGAAUGGUGCCAAGUACACCAACACUGGCAUUACAGAAGCCCCAAAUGGAAAAGUGAGAAAUAAAGGGAUAAGAACAUAUGGGAUGGAAAUCCUGUGAAAUUGUAUUGUUAUGAUCAUUCUAUAACUGCAGAUGUGAUAAAUUCGAGUAAUAAAAAAACAAACAAUCAAAAAAGAACAUAUUUGAACACAUAACAGCUAAAAAGUUCCCUAACCUAGGAAAGGAAAGGAAACAGACAUCCAGGUCGAGGAAGCACAGAGAGUCCCAAAUAGAAUCAACACUAAGAGGUCUACACCAACACAUGUUGUAAUUAAAAUGACAAAAGUUAAAGAUUUAACACCCAUCCUUCUCAAACUGCUCCAAAAAAUUGCAGAGGAAGGAAUACUUCCAAACUCAUACUAUGAGGCCAGCCAUCACCCUGACAUGAAAAUCAGAAAAAGAUAUCACAGGAAAAGAAAAGUACAGGCCAAUAUCACUAAAAACAUGGUUCAAUAUCCUCAAAUCAAUCAACGUGAUACACCACAUUAACAAACUGAAGAAUAAAAACCAUAUGAUUAUCUCAAUAGAUGCAGGAAAAGAUUUUGACAAAUUUCAACAUCUAUUUAUGAUUUUAAAUAUUCUCUAGGAGUUUCUGUCAUGGCUCAGUGGUUAACAAAUCUGACUAGGAACCAUGAGGUUGCGAGUUCGAUCCCUGGCCUCUCUCAGUGGGUGAAGGAUCCAGUGUUGCCAUGAGCUGUGGUGUAGGUCACAGACACGGCUCAGAUCCCGAGUUGCUAUGGCUGUGGCGUACGCCAGCAGCUAUAGCUCCAGUUUGACCCCUAGCUAGGGAACCUCCAUAUGCCACAGGGGUGGCCCUAAAAAGACAAGAAAAAAAAAAUUCUCCAGAAAGCAGUCAUAGAGGGAACAUACUUCAACAUAAUAAAGGCCGUAUAUGAUAAGCCCACAGCUAAUAUCACACUCAAAGGUAAAAAGCUGAAACCAUUUCCCCAAGAACAGGAAUGAGACAAGGAUGUCCACUCUUGCCGACUUUAUUCAUUAUUGAAAGCCUUAGCCACAGUGAUAGGACAAGAAAAUUUUAAAAAGGAACCUAAAUUGGAAAGGAAGAAGUAAAACUGUCACUGUCAUCAGAUGAGAUGAAACUACAUAUAGAAAAUCCUAAAGAUAUCAUCAAAAAACCGUGAGAACUAUUAAAUGAAUUCAGUACAACUGCAGGAUACAAAAUUAAUAUACAGAAAUUGUUGCAUUUCUAUAUACUAACAACAAACCAUCAGAAAAGGAAAUUAAAAAAACAAUCUGAUGUGUAAUCACAUCAAAAAGAAAAAAAUAUCUAGGAAUAAAUCUAACUAAGGAGGUAAAAGACCUGUACUCAGAAAACUAUUAGGUGCUGAUGAAAGAAAUUGAAGAUGACACAAACAUACGGAAAGAUAUACUGUGUUCAUGAAUUGAAGAAAUUAAUAUUGUUAGAAUGACCACACUACCAAAGGCAGUCUACAAAUUCAAUGCAAUCUCUAUCAAAACACCAAUAGCAUUUUUCACAGAAAAAGAACAAAUAAUUCUAAAAUGUGUAUGGAAUACAACAGACUUCAAAGAGUUGAAACAAUCUUGAGAAUAAAGGACAAAGGUGGAGACAUCACACACCCUGAUCUCAAACUAUAUAACAAAGCAACAAUUAUCAAAACAGUGUGGCACUGGCACCAAAACAGAUAUAUCAAACAAUGGAAUAGAAUAGAACCCAGAAAUGAAUCAAUUAUAAGGUCAAUUAAUCUACAAAAAGAAUGCAAGAAUAUACAAUAGGGAAGACACUCUCUUCAAUAAAUUG
rnacentral:lncRNA from 1 species